rnacentral:rRNA from 1 species
CGCGUAGGCGGGUUUUUUAAGUUGGGGGUGAAAUGCCGAGGCUCAACCUCGGAACUGCCUCCAAAACUGGAAGCCUUGAGGUAUGGAGAGGGAAGUGGAAUUCCUGGUGUAGCGGUGAAAUGCGUAGAUAUCAGGAGGAACACCCGUGGCGAAGGCGGCUUCCUGGCCCAUAUCCUGACGCUGAGGUGCGAAAGCUAGGGGAGCGAACG